rnacentral:rRNA from 1 species
AUCGCCUCUUGCAUUCCAAAGUAUAAGAGGUCCCACCUGCCCUGUGACUCUAAGUUUAACGGCCGCGGUAUUCUAACCGUGCGAAGGUAGCGCAAUCAAUUGCCUUUUAAAUGAAGGCCUGUAUGAAUGGUAUAACGAGGGUCUAGCUGUCUCUUUUUUCUAGUCAGUUAAACUGAUCUGUCCGUGCAGAAGCGGACAUAAAUAUACAAGACGAGAAGACCCUAUGGAGCUUUAGACACUAGCCAACUGUGAAUGAGCGACUGAACUGAACAAGUCCUAAAUUCCCGCAGCCUUAUGGUGAUGUAGUCUUAGGUUGGGGCGACCACGGGAGAAAAUAAAGCUCCCAAGCAGACCGGGAAAACCCUUAAGCCGAGAGUUGCAACUCUAAGCCGCAAAAUUUUUGACUGAAAUGAUCCGGUUGAAAAACCGAUUAACGAACCAAGUUACCCUAGGGAUAACAGCGCAAUCCUCUCCCAGAGUCCCUAUCGACGAGGGGGUUUACG